rnacentral:lncRNA from 1 species
CUUCUCCAUGCCCACCCUUUCUCUGCCAUCCUGCAUCCUCUUCAACUCUCUAUUGAAAAAUGAACAAAUGUUCAGAACAGAGGAAGUAGAGUGGUGGCACCAUCAAAGGCAGGAAGGGCCAGGAGAACCUGAUGGGAGCGGGGAUACAGACCUGGUUCUAGCUUCCAGUCUUCCAGUCACUAACUUUCUGCUGUGUGCAGGGCACAAUGGAAGUAAACACCACCCACUAUAUAUCCCCUGUGCCUGGCAUACAGAAUCAUUCAUACAUGUUGACCGAAGGGUUUCCUUUGCUUCUAGGGGAUUAUGUAUCAUUUUGGGAGGAAGCAUGUAUUCUGUGAGGUUGUUUAGUUUAUGUCCAAGCGCCAUUUACUAAUGUAUCCCUGCUCUUUGCUUUCGGUAUGUAUGUUCUUCCUCCACCUGACAAUUGUGCCCCCAAUGGUGGCCAGGCAGCAGCAUACCAAAGAGAUGUGCUGCAAGAUUUCAGAGGUGGGUGAGUGAGACAUGGGAAAGUGCACUCAGGUCUUGAAAGAGUCAGGAGUGGCCAGGGCAAAGAACAUGAACUGGUGCUGGAAUGAAGGAUUCUGGGAAGGUUGUGGAGACCUGGCUGGUAGCUAGAGCAGAGAUGAUGGAAUCCAAGGAAACAACUUCUCUCCGGUGAAUCAAGAUUUCUUCAGUGGACACUUAGUCCCAGCUCUGAUAGCCCUUACCCCUGUUUCCUGCCACAGUGUGGGUCAUAUGUAUUCUUUAUCAUAUGAGGAGAGUGCUAAUUAAUGUGUCAUUUAUUUUGUGAGCAUGCUAAUAAAUAUAUUCAUAUUCCAAUUUAGUGAAAAAAAACUGAUCUAGAGAUGCCCCUUUUCGAGGUGACAGCAUGGCUCUGGAGAGAUGGCCACAGGAACCAUGGCAGUGGACCAGGUUGCUGGGAGAAGGCAAAAGGGGAGGCACCCAAGCUGAGAAGGGGCUAAGCACUCAGCCCCUGGGACCACCAACAGCAGGCCUGAGACACAUGCAGGAAACCAGACAGCCUGGAUGAAAUUUCUUUCAAGAAAGGCCAGUGGUCCCUGACAGAACACCAGAGGUUUCCCCCUAAAUCCUUUCGCAUCUGUACCGUUUCCAUCUUAGUUGGAGCUCUUUGUUCUCAUCCUUGCAAUACGCAGAGAAAAAAAAAUCACAGGUUGUUGAUUGUUUGAAGAUAGGGUAUUGCUCUGUCACUCAGGCUGGAGUGCAGUAGCAUGAUCACGGCUCACUGCAGCCUCGAACAUCCGGGCUCAAGUGAUUCUCCCACGUCAGCCUCUGGUGUAGUUGGGACCAAAGGUGUGCCACCACAGAGGCAGGGUUUUGCCAUUUUGCCCAGAAUGGUCUCAAACUCCUGAGCUCAAGGGAUCAGCCUGCCUAGGCUUCCCAAAGUGCUGGGACUACAGGCAUGAGACACCUUGCCCAGCCAACCAGAGUUCUUUUUGAUGCCGAUAUUUUACUCGGACUCCACAUCUAGGUAGGAAUUCAUGUUUUCAAGUACGGACAUUGCUCUACACAAUCCUCUCCUUUCCUGAUCACUAAAUUAGAGUAAAUCACUGUCCUGAAGAAGGUACCCUUGGGAGAGUGGGUUGGCCUGUCUUUCCACCCUUUCUUGACUCUGCCCUCACCUUCAAGCCUCUUUCUGGCCUGUGUUCAAGGUCCAGAGGCAUGCUUAAGACCUCUCUGUGUGGCUCUUCUUGAAGAGUCAGGAACCCCAUACUUCCUGUUCAGCGGGCAGAGAAGCUUCAAGCCGCACAGUUUUGGGUAUGCUAGGAUCCCACAAGGCACAGAUGUGCAGUGGCCCACGAAGUGAGUUUGUGGGUCUCCAGUUACCUGCAGCCCUUUCUGCUCCUGUAGGUUAAAGGGCAAUUGCCUUUUUUUUUCUGUCCAGGAAGGACCCCAGAAUGUUCUGAGUUAGAAAGACAGUGAAUCCUCUCCUCUGGGUCAGUGGGGAGGGAGAGAGAGAGAUUUCAGAGGGAAGAAAGCAGAAAAAGAUGUCACAAAAUUGCCUAAUCAAAAGUUACCAUGAUGCCUGCCUCAUCUGGAACUGGGCUCCCAGUCUCUAGUGAGGGAGACAUAGUCCAGUCCAGUCCCAGUCUCCAGUCUGAGCCAAAGCAGAACAAAGCUGGACACUGCAGCCUGGCAUCCAACGAACAUUUUGUCACUUUCCCCAGGGUGGGAGCAUUUGAACUUUGGAUGUGAAGGAAACAUGGUAACCACUGCAGUAAGAAGAGCAACUGCUGGAGAAAAUGGCACUUUCUUCCCCAAAUUUGUUUUUACACUCAUGUCUAAGGAACACCUUAGAAACCACAUUAACAUCUUUCAGCAAAAGGAAAUUCUGCCUGUUGAUCUUUUGCUGUGAGACAAACUUGAAAAGUUCACAGACACUGCCUUUCUCUGAAAACUGCCCUUACCUCUUUGUUAUAAUUCACUUCAAGAUCUGUUGAGUAGGAACAUCAAAAAUGCAAAUAAAAAGUUUCAAGUAUUAUGAAAGAAUGCAAUAAAACUGCCUUUAAAAAAAAUCUCAAGAUGGAGGUGGAGAUCCUGUGAUCAUGAAAUCUGAAUAGGCUGCUCUUGUGUCCUUCAGUGGUGAUGGCUCUGAAACCCUUGUGUUUUAUGAACUUCACGCCCUGGUCUUCAAACGAAUUCAGUGCAGGCCAAGAAGCACAGUUUGGCCUGGGUUGGAUGCUCUAUAUUUUCAAAGAGUGAAAUGCCUUGAGACACAGCCUUUGCUAUAGUACCUGCUAAAACUUCAACGUGUGGAUAAAUAUAGCUUACAUUGAAUCGAAUAGACUCAGCGAGAGUGGCAGUGAAGGAUGCCCUCUGGAAGAUUCGAGGUGCUGAGGCCAAAGGGCUAGCAAGGAAAGAGCGUGCGGGUCAGGCCCUUCAGCCUGGUGGAAGAGCAGGCAGGGAGGGUCCUAUGGUUCCUGGGAGGACCCGAAGCAUGAUCGCCUGUCAAGAGCCAAGAGCCCUAAUGGCCAGCGCCGGGGAAAGGGCCCCCGAGGGGCAGUCAGCAGCCCUGCAGGGGCGGCGUUCACACUCCUGUGUGGCACGGGACACUCAUGGCUCCACCAGCUCCUGAAGCUUCUGGGAGCCAGAGAGUCAGCAGGGAGAAUCCCACACACGGGCACUCAGUUCCUGGAAACCCUGCAUGAGAUGCGGGAUCCCGAAGCCAGAUUGGGGGUCCCUAGGGUCUUGGCUUCGGGGCUAGGCGCGGAACCGUAAAUGAGGGUUCAGCCUGUCUGCCUGAGGGAUUGUGUUUCCUGGCGUAUUUAUCACUCAAAUUUUGAAAAGCAGUCGAAUUUGUUAUAUUGGAAACCCUAGUAGUUAAAAACAGCAGAUGGUAACAUUUCAGGAAUAUGUCUUGUGCCAGGAACUGUGAGGGGUUUCUGUAGUGUAGUGAUUACAUGUUCCCUUCACAUGUGAAAGGUCUCAGGUUUGGGACCUUUCAUCAUCAACAUGAUGAAACCCCGUCUCCAGUAAAAAUACAAAAAUUAGCCAGGCGUGGUGGUGCAUGCCUGUAAUCCCAGCUCCUCGGGAGGCUGAGGCAGGAGAAUUGCUUAAUUCCAAGAGGUAGAUGUUGCGGUGAGCUGAGAUUGUGCCAUUGCACUCCAGCCUAGGCAGCAAGAGUGAGACUACGUCUUAAAAAAAAAAAAAAGAAAGAAAGAAAAGAAAACAGAGGACUUUAAAACCGUUAUUAUGUCAAUAUUCUAUGGGUCCAAAGAAUUAAGCAGAGGUAUCAAACAUAUAAAAAUGGUCAGAAUCAAACUUUGGAGAUUAAAAACUACAACAUCUGAGAUAAUAAAUUCACUGGAUGCAAUUAACAGCAGAUUAGACACUGCAGAAAAAAAGAUUAUGAAACACAAAGCCGCCGGGCACCGUGGCUCAGGCCUGUAAUCCCAGCACUUUGGGAGGCGGAGGCGGGUGGAUCACGAUGUCCAGAGAUAGAGCCCAUCCUGGCUAAAACAGUGAGACCCCCGUCUUUACAAAAAAAAAAAAAAAAAAAAAAAAAAAAAUAUAUAUAUAUAUAUAUAUAUAUAUAUAUAUAUAUAUAUAUAUAUAAAAAUUAGCUGGACAUGGUGGCGGGCGCCUGUAGUCCCAGCUAAUCGGGAACCUGAGGCAGGAGAAUGGCAUGAACCCGGGAGGCGGAGCUUGCAGUGAGCCGAGAUGGUGCCACUGCACCCCAGCCUGGGCGACAGAGCAAGACUCCCUCUAAAAAAAAAAAAAAAAAAAAAAAAAAAAACCGCACUGAGGGGAAAAGUCAAUGUGAAAUUCUACAAAAGCUGAAAAUUCACUACCACCAGCCAUUACCACAAAAAAAAAAAAAAGUUGAAGGAGUCCUCCAGGCAGAACGAAACUGACAUCGGAUGAAAAUCUGGUUGUACAAAAAAAAAAAAAAAAAAAAACUAGACAUGACAUCUAAUAGACGAAUAUAUAAUUUUAACAUCUGACUGUUUAGCUGGGCGUGGUGGCUCACGCCUGUAAUCCCAGCACUUUGGGAAGCUGAGGCAGGCAGAUCACUUGAGGUCAGGUGGUUGAGACCAGCUUGGCCAAUAUGGUGAACCCCUCUCUCUACUAAAAAUACAAAAAUUAGUCCGGUGUGGUGGCCCACGCCUGUAAUCUCUGCUACUCAGGAGUCUGAGUCAGGACAAUCGCUUGAACCCGGGAAGCAGAGGUUGCAGUGAGCCAAGAUUGUUCCACUGCACUCCAGCCUAUCUGGAACCUAGUUUGAUCUGGAGGGAUCUUAUUUUAUAGGAGGCUUGGAGGGGGACCUUUUGCUUUAUGUACUUAUAGGAUGCACAAGACACAAGGGAACAAUCUCUCACUUUUUAAAUACAGUGAUAGGCCUGAGGAGAAACAACUGCAAUUUUUUUUUUUUUUUUUUUUUUAAUGAGAUGGGAUUCUCACUGGUCUUGAACUGAGCUCAGGCGAGGCUUCCCCUACGUCGGCCUCUCAAAGUGUUGGGAUUAAUAGGCGUGAGCCACCGCGCCUGACCACAACUAACCAACAUUUAAAAGCACGUCCCUGGGUAGGCUCGAACCACCAACUUUCCGGUUAACAGCCGAACGCGCUAACCAAUUGCUCCACGGAGAUAACCUCAGUUGGUCGCUUUCAUCUCAACAUAGAUUAAGCAAUCACUAAACUCUAGGGGUUGCCAUUCGCUUUCUGCAGGACAACUGUGCAGACUACAAAGCUUCGGAAAACCGGAGAGGCUGAGUCGACUAAUCGUGUUGUUGCACGUUAGAAACGCUUGCAUUGCCUGACUCUGAAACCAGAAGGGCGGCCGAAUGGCCUUCACCCUCCAUUAACCCUCGCCUCCUUCAGAAGCCAGUGCCUCUGGAAAUGCCUGGAUCUGCGACCCCAGCCUGAGCCUAGUAGGGCCCAAGGGAAGCUGAACGCCCCGACGGCUCUCAUGGUAGGUAGCUCUUUCUGUUUUUUUGCGCCGCCUUCAGGCAAUCAUCUACUCCGCUUGCUAUCCCCUCACUCAACUCGGCUUCAGUAGAUGGGGUUGGUGGGGCGGGAGCGGGAAAGAGGCAGGGGAGUCAAAAGGGAAAACCUGAAAAGAAGGAGGGAGAAGAAGCAGGGGAGACCAGGACGAGACAAUGGGACAGCCCAGGAUGCCGGUGCAGAGGGCAGCGGCUGGAUGCAGAGAAGAUGGGACACGUAUCAGAAUGGACUGGAGAAGACGUGAGGGAAAAUCACAAGAACCUGUAGCUGCCCAAGAAUAAACACGUAAAAAUCGCAUAAAUGUUUUUACAUUAAAAAAAAAAUCGGGGGACCGGGCGCAGUGGCUCACGCCUGUAAUCCCAGCACUUUGGGAGGCCGAGGUGGGUGGAUCACUCACUUGAAGUCAGGAGUUCGAGACCAGCCGGGCCAACAUGGUGAAAGCCCGUCUCUACUAAAAAUACAAAAAUUAGCUGGGUGUGGUGGCGACGCUUGUAGUCCCAGCUACUCAGGAGGCUGAGGCAGGAGAAUCGCUUGAACCUGAGAGGCAGAGGUGGCAGUGAGCCGAGAUCGCGCCACUGCCCUCCAGCCUGGGCGACAAAGCGAAAUUCUGUCUCUCAAAAAAAAUGCAUAAAUAAAUAAAAGAGGGGUGGGGAAGCAAAACGACGGGCAGUAGGUGUGGGGCGCAUUGGGAUUCUAUAGUGGUUAGUACCCUGCCUUGUGCCUGCAGCAACCUCUGUUCUAAUCUGAAUCCUGGUACAGUCAGACUCUAUCUUGGACCCACUGGGGCGAACCCACGAGUCUUUUGGUUUGCUUUUAAUUCCUGCACCAGCUGCGGCCUUUAUCUGCAGCCAGAAAGCAGGGUUUACCGCUGGCCCCACAGCGCCAUACGGUCUGGGGAAAAGAAGGAAACCCAAUAGUACACAAACAAAGGCCCAAAGAGAAACCUUCCAAGUGCUCUAUGCCUCACGGUUUAGCAGAAAAUAUCAAGCAACUCUCAACCUAGCUGGUCUGUAGCUUCCACAAAUGAAAUACUGUAUUCAUUGCAGCCUUUCUGGUUGAGAUAUUUCAAAUAUUUGGUGGGGCUUUUAAUGAGACGGAGAGACACUCUCGAGUGUGGAAGAAAAACAUGAGGGGGUGUGAGGAUAAGGCGACUUUAGGACAGAAAAAACAAAGAGACAAGGAAGCCACGUAAACGUUUUCGGGUAGGCGUGAGGCGAUGUCAGUUUUGAACCCCGUUUAUGUUAGGUAGAGAGCGCAGCCCUCUUCUAGCACAAACACCGUUUCCCACAUUGAAGAAAUCACAGAGAUCAGCAACUCUAGAGUGCGAUGAAGAAGCUUCACUCUGGGAGAACCCCCUUCGUGACCACGGUCUCUUUCCUGCCAGGUAAGUGGGAAUGAGCGCAUGCCCUGCAGGGACAGCACAGCGUCCUCGCCCUGGUCGGACGCUCAGGUUCACCACCCUACCCACUGCCCCCUUCGCCAUUCUUCCAAACCACUCUCUGCCAAAGAUUCCACCGACAGUCACCCCACACGACAACCCAGGCCGCCUUUCAGCAGUGGCUCCCGCCCCGCAACCACGCGCCCUCUCACCCCCGCGGUUCUGCCCGCCGCCUCUGUCCAGUCUGUGCACUUCACCUCCCUGGCUCCCGCUCUCCCCUGAGCUUACAGUGGACGCGGGGUUCUUCCAAACCCCUCUUGGGAAUACUGAAUGGAAAAGGGGGAGCGUGCGCAAGUGCUUGGUAGAGUGUAGACAUUGUGGGAUUUGACUGUGGUACCAUCGCUUUGACGUCCUAGUGCUGAUUUUUACACCUGCAUUCUGCUUAGGGCACUGGCAACAGUUUUCCGUUUGUGCCUACUCCACCUGCUGUCUUUGUUGGGUCAGCGAACAUCGCCUCCCUCUACCGCUCAAUCAGCAAAAGGGACCGCCCUUGAGGACCUCACCCGCCGCUCACUCCCCUCCCAACUUCGCGGGCAUCGCCUCCGGUCGCCUCUUCCGAAGGCCUAACGAGCAUGUUAGCUGCGAACGGAGGUGAGGAGGCUCCGCUGACUGACCGGUGCCCACGUCCAGGGCACGCACAAACGCCAUGACUUGGCUUGGCCUCUCUCUUAGUUAUUCACAGCUCAGCCCGAUAGGCACCUCUGGGGCGGCGACGGCAAAGAGGGUGCGCUUAUUAAGUGCAGCUCCACGGGGACUGGCCUCUCUGCACGGCUGUGUACACCUGAGCGAGACGCUCAGUCGCUCUCUAAAGCCGCUUCUGCGGAUGACAGACACGGAGAUAAACGUGAGAGGUGGCCCACCACGACUUGCCCUCCUUUGCCCGGGUUUGCCCCUCGCUGCGGAGGCUGUUCUACAUCUGGCCCUUGGAGCAGGCCGGCUGACAGCGUGGUAAAGGAAGAUUUCUGCGGGAGGGCGGCCAGUGCAAAACAAUUCCCUGACCGGGAAUCGAACCCGGGCCGUGGCGCUUUCAGCACCGAAUCCUAGCCACUAGACAACCAUGCAGAUGCGGAAAGCUGCUUUCUCUCCCUUCUUCGACCUGAAGCGACACUUUCCUGUGCUCUAGGAGGACUUGGGUCUUGUGAGAGUCGCCCUUUGCUCCUGGAGUCGUCUCACAAGGCCGUUCACUCCCUGCUUUCUUCAAAAAAAGAACCUGCAGGCGACACACCAAGGACUCCACGAGGGAGUCCUGAGUACUGGAGCGAGUUGCGGCCACGCGGCCGCAGCUCACCACUGGCCUAGAGAUGCCCUUUGCGAGGCGGCAGCAACUGACAAGAUGGUCGCGGGUCGCCGGGUCCGGAGCCGCCCACCAGGUUGCCAGGAGGAGGCGGGAGCGGGGAGGCGCCCGAGGUGAGACAGGGGCACCCUCUGCAUCAUAAAGGACCCAGACCCCGGCACCCUCAACAUCAUAAGGAAUCAGACGGAUGCGGAAACCGAGACGGGCUGGAUAGGAAACUCUUUCCAGGAAGGCUCCGGGGCACUCAACUGGUCUCCAACCUUCCCCUGCAACCUGUGACGCCUGCCAUUUUCCCAUUUUAGGCGAUGGCAACGCAACCCCUCCGUUUGCUCUGGGCAAAACUUCGAGAGUUCCCUCUGAAGCUGGAGCUUUUUCCUCAGAUCCAAGAUCCAAUUGGUCACCAAUUCGUGAUUUCCGUCGGCCAAGUGCGUGGGCAUUGAUCUACACGCGAGUUUCUCCACCUCUGCCGAAUGGCUACUUCGGGGUGGGGGAGGGGCCCUCCCGCCGUGGAUUGCAAGGUGUUUAGCAGCAUCUGUCUCCUCCGCUGACUAGACACAUGCCAGGGGGAUAACAUUCUCCCUCCCGCUUCCCCCAGCCGCGGCCUAGUGUCCCAGCGGGGUUGGGAGAGGCAUGUGAGGGCCAAGUUGCCCCCUGUUGAGAACCAUUGCUGCGCGUAGUCCUUCUCUCUGAACUUGUGCAGAGGACUCUCCAGGUGAAGGCUCAAGGGUGGAUCCAGCUCGAGACACCCUCGCUCCCCCUCACAGUCGGACCUUAGGAUUUAGGCUUUAACAUCUCCACAUCAUGAGAUUCGAAACCUUUAGGUCUUGUCUUCCGUUCUGUCCUCCAAAUCGGCCUCUUCCGAGCCUGUUGACCAGGGCCAGCCGGGCAGAGGGCUGGGCUCGCUCAACGAGGCUCCUCUCGCACCUCCUGGAGCUUCAGGCUUCUUUCCGUUGCAGAGAAGCUUUAUGGGCCAAUUCGUUCGGCAUCCCCGGGGGCAGGUGCGCGGUGCGCGGGGAAGAAGAGGAUUUGACUGCGGUUCUCCACCCCCGGCGCCCAACCUCCACCCCGGUGCGCGCGCUCUUCCAGGCUCCUGCUGGUCCCACUUGCCAGGAGUUAGGUCUCAGGUCAGCCUGAGCUCCUGAGACGCCCAGGCCCGGAAAGACACGUAGGGGAAACCAUCUGCUCACUUCUGUCCUGUCCGGAAGGGAUCCCUUUCUGACGGGAAAGAAAGGCGGUGAGUCCUGUCCUGUUGAGUAGGCGGAAGAGAGAUCAAAGGGAAGACAAGAAAAAUCCUGUGAGUUUUCAGGAUCUAAAGUUACCAUGAGGUCGACCUAACCUCCUCUGGAGGUCCUCCCGGUCCUCCCGUGGCUGUCGAAGGUGAAUCUAGCUUCCGUCUCCAGUUCGCCAAGGCGGACAAAGCCGACGACAAUGGGCCUGUCCACUAUCUUCUUUCAUAUGCACAAAAUGUCAGCUCUUCUUGUUUCUAACUUGCAACAUCCCACCUGAUGACCAGCUCAGCAAAUUAGAGACCCUCCAUGGGAUUCCAUCUCUGUCUUAGUUCGGGCUUCCAUAACUAUAUACCAUAAACUGGGUGGCUAAUUCACGACAGAAAUUUAUUUCUCACAGUUCUGGAGGUUGGAAGUCCGAGAUCAAGGUGCCAACAUGGUAGGGUUAUGAUGAGGGACUUUUUUCUGGUUGUAGACUGCCACCUUCUCAUUGUAUCCUCAGGGGGCAGAGAGAGCUCCCUGGGGUCCCUUUUAUAGUGGCAUUAGUCCCACUCAGACUAACGGGACUAAAUCCAGACCCAGUUAUUGCAAUGUGUGCAAAAGAACAAGGACUUGUACUAUCUGACUUCAAGGCUUACUAUAAGCUAUUACAGACAAGGCAUCAGGAGGGACAAAUAGAUAAACAGACUGAGUUAAGAGACCUGAAACUGAUCCACAGCCAUACAGUCAAUAAAUGAGCUUUCAAUGAAAGCAGUUCAAUAGAAGAAAAUAAAUCAUUUCAAUUAAUGGACUUUCAUAUGGAGGUGGGGGAGACCAACAAUGUUAUUCUCCCUCACACUACAUACAAAAGUAAUUUGAGGUGCAUUAUACACCAAAACUUAAAAGUUAAAGAUAUAAAGCAUUUCAAGGAUACUCUGUAGGUAAAGAUUAGCCUACCAACAAGUAGGACACUGAAAAAAUAUAUAUAAAAGACAUGAUAAAUUAGACUUCAUCAACAUUAGCCAUACCUUCUCAUCAAAAGAUACCACUAAGAAAGUGAAAAGGCAAGCAAGCCACAGACAGAGAGAAAAUAGUCACAAAACGUAUCUGACCUCCACAUCCUGUAAUUAGAAUUAUUGUGGUCUGGUACACUGCACCCAGUUUCUGCAGGAGUACUUUCUGGGUGUCUCUAAUGAGUAAGAGAGGGCCCCAUGGGAUAUUCCUACAGUUCCCAGAUGAACAGUGGGAAAGACUCUACGUUGACAAACCCCGGGGACCUGAAAACUCAGGUCCUCAAGGAGGGUAGAGGAUACCUGGACCCUGACCCAGACCCCUAGAUGGGCUGUGCCAAGAGACCCAGCAAGGGAAGGGAUUCCCUCCUGCCUCAGGUUCUCUGUUCUUCUGUGGUUAGAAGACCUGAACCCAACUCCCUCUCCAAGCAGUGGAGAUAGGGCUUUUCCAAGGGCUGGGGAUCUUGCUGUCCUAAGGACAGCUGAGCAAGGGGGUCGAGGAGGAGCUUGGGUGGUGGAGGAGAGGAAACCGGGUAAGAUGUGUGAAGCAGUCGGCUAUACCAGGCACAGAGAGGACCCACUGGGACACAAGAGCCUGCAUGUGAAGCCAGGCCUUGGGCCACCUUGUUCCUCAAAGGGGUGCUUACUUCCAUGGGAUCUUCAAAGGGACUGUGGAAAGAGAAGCCUUCAGCCCACACCUCUGAAUGCUUUUCCACCACAGCAUGCCCUGUGGCCUGUAUCCUGCUGGUGUGGAACAGUCAGACCCCUGCAGGGCUGCAGAGCCUCUGUACUGGGCGGCAUCCCAGCCUGAGUGCCAGAGCUCAGUGGGCAGGCCCCCGAGCAAGCAGAGAGGAGGGCACCUUUUGGACAGAACCUGUGGGACAAGAGCGACGUCUCAUCCUUUCAGGUUCCUCACAAAAUGACAGUCAGGAAGAUCAGGGUGCAGACCUGAUUUCCCACGAAGGGCUGAAAGCAGACAACCGGAGGGAGAGCAGCACCUGGGUCAAUGAGGUAGAAGACAGAAGACCACAGUGUACUUCUGCCCUCAACCUCACCCCCUCCCACCUACAUCCUCCACACCCCCUGACCACCUUCUUCAGAAACGUAAUAGGAAUCAAGAUCCCCCCUGGCCUGGUUGCUAUGGGAGGCACAGUGGCCUGAUGGAGCCUGAGGCAGGUGUGGGAAGAUGUGGAUUGUCUAACUGGAGGUUGGGAGUCCAGGGUGCAGAAGGAGAAGCUUGGAGUGCAGGAUUUGGUGGUAUGUGUGUGGCAGUAGGCACUAUGUUCUAAUUGCCAGUUUUUUUUUCUUCUUCCUUUUUUUCUCUAGCUAAACAAGCACUGGCCUUGAGAUAAGCAAUGCUGAAGCACUUGCAGCUCACCUAUUACCAUAAACUGACUGAGCCCUCCCUACACAAGCCGUAACUACUGCUUUGAUUGGACAAGAGACUGAUUUCAGUAGUUUUCUCUUGAUAAGAGACCACUGGCCGUGGGCGGGUUCUGGACAGUUUACAGAAGCUAUGCACUUGAUUGCCUUUGUGUCCCUGCUUCACCUUUUGAAGCAUAGGGCCUAAUUAUAAUGUAUUUAAAUGUUGUCUCCACCCCAAAGUGAACAUGGGUUGCAUGUAACAGGCAUGUUUACUCAGCAUGCAUGCAGCAGGAUCCCUUCACAAAUAUUCAGAGCUCCCCCUAUUCCCUGUUGAAUAUGUAUAUGUGGCCAGCCAGAUCAACGUAAAUCACUAUUCGCCCUCCCCUCCCUGGAAACCUACUUUUCGGGUUUCAGCAGGAAGCUAUGCCUCCCCGUCUGUCAGAAUGGCCACUUGCAGGCUGUAACCCUUUAUAAAAAAAUAAAAUCUCCUUUCUAAAUUU